AGAGUUUGAUCCUGGCUCAGGACGAACGCUGGCGGCGUGCCUAAUACAUGCAAGUCGAGCGGUCCCUUCGGGGAUAGCGGCGGACGGGUGAGUAACACGUAGGCAACCUGCCUGUAAGAUUGGGAUAACUAUCGGAAACGAUAGCUAAGACCGGAUAGCUGGUUCUCUCGCAUGAGAGGAUCAUGAAACACGGGGUAACCUGUGGCUUACAGAUGGGCCUGCGGCGCAUUAGCUAGUUGGUAGGGUAACGGCCUACCAAGGCGACGAUGCGUAGCCGACCUGAGAGGGUGAUCGGCCACACUGGGACUGAGACACGGCCCAGACUCCUACGGGAGGCAGCAGUAGGGAAUCUUCCGCAAUGGACGCAAGUCUGACGGAGCAACGCCGCGUGAGUGAUGAAGGUUUUCGGAUCGUAAAGCUCUGUUGCCAGGGAAGAACGCUUAGGAGAGUAACUGCUCUUAGGGUGACGGUACCUGAGAAGAAAGCCCCGGCUAACUACGUGCCAGCAGCCGCGGUAAUACGUAGGGGGCAAGCGUUGUCCGGAAUUAUUGGGCGUAAAGCGCGCGCAGGCGGUCAUUUAAGUUUGGUGUUUAAGCCCGGGGCUCAACCCCGGAUCGCACUGAAAACUGGGUGACUUGAGUGCGGGAGAGGAAAGUGGAAUUCCACGUGUAGCGGUGAAAUGCGUAGAGAUGUGGAGGAACACCAGUGGCGAAGGCGACUUUCUGGACCGUAACUGACGCUGAGGCGCGAAAGCGUGGGGAGCAAACAGGAUUAGAUACCCUGGUAGUCCACGCCGUAAACGAUGAGUGCUAGGUGUUAGGGGUUUCGAUACCCUUGGUGCCGAAGUAAACACAGUAAGCACUCCGCC
rnacentral:rRNA from 1 species